UUUGAAGUCUGGCCUGCCCAAUGAUAAUUAUUGAAUGGCCGCAGUAUUUUGACUGUGCAAAGGUAGCAUAAUCAUUAGUUUUCUAAUUAAAAGCUGGAAUGAACGGUUUGAUGAAGGAAGAUCUGUCUCAGGAUUAUUAAUAUAGAAAUUUAUUUUUAAGUUAAAAAGCUUAAAUAUUUUAAAAAGACGAGAAGACCCUAUAGAGUUUUAUACUUAUUUUGUAAAAUUUUAUUUUGGAUUUUUAAAGAUUUUUAUUUUAAAAGUAUUUAGUUGGGGUGACGUAUAAAUUUAAUUAACUUUUUAUAUUAAAAACAUGAAUUGAUGGAUCAAUGAUCCUUUUAUUUGGAUUAAUAGAAAAAAUUACCUUAGGGAUAACAGCGUAAUUUUUUUUGAGAGUUCUUAUCGAAAAAAAAUAUUGCGACCUCGAUGUUGGAUUAAAAUUAAUUUCUGGUGCAGAAGCUGGAAAAUUAGGUCUGUUCGACCUUUAAAAUUUUACAUGAUCUGAGUUUAAACCGGCGUGAGCCAGGUUGGUUUCUAUCUUUUAAUAAAUAGUAUGUUUUAGUACGAAAGGACCAAGCAUUAAAAUUAUAUUUUAUUUUUUGAAUUAUAUUGUUAUUUUGGCAGAUUAGUGCAAUAAAUUUAGAAUUUAUAUAUGUAGAUUGAUUACAAAUAAUAUUGUUUUUUCAAGAUUUGUUUAUAAUUUUUAUUUCAAUAAUUAUUUUAAUUGUUUGUGUGUUAGUGGGGGUAGCUUUUUUA
rnacentral:rRNA from 1 species